rnacentral:rRNA from 1 species
CGCCAGACUCCUACGGGAGGCAGCAGUGGGGAAUAUCGCACAAUGGGGGAAACCCUGAUGCAGCGACGCCGCGUGAGCGAGGAAGUAUUUCGGUAUGUAAAGCUCUGUCAGCAGGGAAGAAGAAUGACGGUACCUGAAGAAGAAGCACCGACUAAAUACGUGCCAGCAGCCGCGGUAAUACGUAUGGUGCAAGCGUUAUCCGGAUUUACUGGGUGUAAAGGGAGCGCAGGCGGUUCUGCAAGUCUGAUGUGAAAGCCCGGGGCUCAACCGCGGGACUGCAUUGGAAACUGCGGGACUGGAGUGUCGGAGGGGUAAGCGGAAUUCCUGGUGUAGCGGUGAAAUGCGUAGAUAUCAGGAGGAACACCGGUGGCGAAGGCGGCUUACUGGACGAUGACUGACGCUGAGGCUCGAAAGCGUGGGGAGCAAACAGGAUUAGAUACCCGUGUA